UUCGUUUCGGUUCGGUUUGUCUUUUGGGGUUCUUCUCGCCUUCGAAAGCGCCGUCCUUCUUCAGUGUUUUCACAUUUUCACGUACAGUUCAAUCGUGAGGUUCAGCCUAGUGAGUUCUGUGUAGUUAAGUCGGAAUAUUUCGUAUAGUUCUCGUCGACUGUCGUCUGACAUUUGUUCUUCUAUUCCGAAACGCUGCAUUGAAAUACAAAAAUAAUACAAACUAGAAUAUUCAACAAAACAAAAAACCAAGGAAACGAAAAACCAAUUAAAAUUUUAACAAAAUAAUAACUCGCUUCAAAAUAUAUUGCAAAUAUAUCAACAAAUUUAAUCAAAUCAAAUUCACCAACAAAUCGAAAACAAACUCUAUUAAUUCGUUUACUCAAAAAUCCAAAAACACAAAACAACCAAAAACCGAUUCAAAUAUAUAACUGUUAAAUCUAAACGAGCAGGCGAUCUACUGGGAAGCGAGAGAGGAAGGGCAUCAGCAGCAGCACUACUACACGCGUGUGUGUUUAAAUACUGGAAAAUACAGAUAAGAUAAAUUAUUAUAGACACUCACGAGUACAUUUAGAGCAGACCAAACCCAGAGACAGACAACCGCAGAGAAUCAAAAGCACUCCAAGAGCAAAUCAAUAAAACAAAAACAAAACCCAAACAACAACAAAAAAAACAACAACAGAAACAACAGAAACAAAGAGAAAAAGCAACUCAAAAAACAAAAUUUUAAAAAAAGUGUUACCAAAAAAAACUUAAAAAAAAAAGAAAAUUAUUUAAAAGACAAAACCCGUACUCGUAACGGUGCAGACAACUGAAAAUACCCAGUGAAAAUUCAGAAAAGCGUUGACCAUUUUUUCUCGCAAAGGCGCCACGUCCAAGAGCAAAUCGUUCCAUAUGGUUCAUAUUAUUGAAUUGGUCGGCCAGCCGAAGGUUGAGUUUGCUCAACAAGUUACUAUGAACCGUGCUUUACAGCUGAAGCCAGCUGAAAAUGAAAGUCGCAGCGGCUGCGCAUUCGUCAAAUUCGGAACGCAACAGGAGGCUCAGUCAGCAAUAGCCAAUCUACACGGAAGUCAAACUAUGCCGGGUGCAUCCUCCAGCCUGGUCGUCAAAUACGCCGACACAGAGAAGGAACGACAAAUCAGGCGCAUGCAACAAAUGGCCGGUCAUAUGAACCUGCUGAAUCCGUUUGUCUUUAAUCAGUUCAGCCCGUACGGCGCCUACGCUCAGCAACAGCAGCAAGCCGCUCUGAUGGCUGCCGCUGCCACCGCGCCUGGCUCGGCAGCCGCCUACAUGAACCCCAUGGCCGCCCUGGCAACGCAAAUACCUCAUGGCUUGAACGGCACCGGACAGCCGCCCUCUUUGCCCUCGCCGACCAUGCCCAACUUCAGCAUGGGCGCCAACACGCCCAACGGCCAGCCCGGUGGAGCUGCCGCGGCUGCAGCAGCUGCUGCGGCGGACGGGGUCUUCACGAACGGCAUUCCACAAACGGCAUUCCCAGGACAUCCGCUGCAUUUGACUAUACCACCACAAGGUCUGCCAAACGGCGAUGCUGCUACUCUGCAACAUGCCUUCCCUGGGCUGCCACCGUUUCCAGGAGUUGGAUGCUCGAUAUCCGGUCCAGAGGGCUGCAAUCUCUUCAUCUACCAUUUGCCCCAAGAGUUUGGCGAUGCGGAGUUAAUGCAAAUGUUCCUGCCCUUUGGCAAUGUGAUCAGCUCCAAGGUCUUCAUCGAUCGUGCUACAAACCAGAGCAAAUGCUUCGGUUUCGUGUCCUUCGAUAAUCCAGCCAGCGCUCAAGCGGCCAUUCAGGCCAUGAAUGGCUUCCAGAUUGGCAUGAAAAGACUGAAAGUUCAAUUGAAGCGGCCAAAGGAUGCCAGUCGACCCUAUUAACAAUCGGAGUUCCUUAAGUGUAAUUCGCAACAACUACAACUACUUCCUGGAGCACCAACAACAGGAGUAGUCGCAGGAGCAGCCAUGCCACAAACUACAACACAAUUUGCAACAGCAGCAGCAGCAGCAGCAACAGCAUCCACAGCAACAGCAACAGCCACAGCAACAACCACAGUGCACCACUAUAGUCACAGAAGCAGCUUUAGGCCACCAUUUCCCAAUGACAACUCCACUCAUAUGCCGGUAUCAAUUCGCCAGCUGGCGCGAAAUGGUGACCUACUGCUAUCGCUAUAUAGUACCCCGCCAGAAACACUUCCUCCCCAGCCCCAAAAAGCAACCAACAACAGCAACAUCAGCAAGGACAACAACAACAGCACCAACCAACAACAACAGCACCAACAAACACCCACCAGCAGCACCACACCAAACAACAAUAGCAAGCACUGCAGGCAGCAGAAUGGACCGAUUCCCAUCCACAUCCAACUCAACCGGACAUGGCAUCCAAUAGCAACCAGAAGGAACUAUCCAAAGUGGAAUAAGUCGAAAAACUGUUCAAGUGGCAGCAACAAAAGCGAAAGACCUAAAGCCACCAGGACCCCACAAACAGCAACCAUGACAACUGCGACAACAAUAACGAGCGACUACUGAAAGGAUGGUCUUCACCAUGCUAAGUGAAAUGAUUAUAAAAAUUAAACACAUGCAAAAUCGGUGUGUAAAAAAACCUAAAAUAAUAGUAAACAACCAAA
rnacentral:misc_RNA from 1 species